AUUUAUAUAGUAUAAAAGUAUAUAUGACUUCCAAUCAUAAGGUUUAUUACAUUAAUAAUAUAAAUA
rnacentral:tRNA from 1 species